CGGUACUGCAGGAAUAAGCAUCGGCUAACUCCGUGCCAGCAGCCGCGGUAAUACGGAGGAUGCAAGCGUUAUCCGGAUUCAUUGGGUUUAAAGGGUGCGCAGGCGGUGGAGCAAGUCAGUGGUGAAAGCCCGGAGCUCAACUUCGGGAUUGCCAUUGAAACUGUUUCACUUGAGUGUAGUCGAGGACGGCGGAAUGAGUUGUGUAGCGGUGAAAUGCAUAGAUAUAACUCAGAACACCAAUUGCGAAGGCAGCUGUCUAGACUACAACUGACGCUGAGGCACGAAAGCGUGGGGAGCGAACAGGAUUAGAUACCCUGGUAGUCCACGCUGUAAACGAUGAUCACUCGUUGUUGGCUACUUGGUAGUCAGUGACUAAGGGAAACCAUUAAGUGAUCCACCUGGGGAGUACGUCGGCAACGAUGAAACUCAAAGGAAUUGACGGGGGCCCGCACAAGCGGAGGAACAUGUGGUUUAAUUCGAUGAUACGCGAGGAACCUUACCUGGGCUUAAAUGCAGGCUGCAUUCCCGUGAAAGCGGGAUUUCCUACGGGACUGCCUGCAAGGUGCUGCAUGGUUGUCGUCAGCUCGUGCCGUGAGGUGUCGGGUUAAGUCCCAUAACGAGCGCAACCCCUAUCGCUAGUUGCCAGCAUGUAAUGGUGGGGACUCUAGCGAGACUGCCGGUGUAAACCGGAGGAAGGUGGGGACGACGUCAAAUCAGCACGGCCCUUACGUCCAGGGCUACACACGUGUUACAAUGGCCGGUACAAAGAGCAGCCACCUGGCGACAGGGUGCUAAUCUCCAAAGCCGGUCUCAGUUCGGAUCGAAGUCUGCAAUUCGACUUCGUGAAGGUGGAUUC
rnacentral:rRNA from 1 species